GCAUGCAAGUCGAGCGAUCGUAGCAAUACGGGAGCGGCAAACGGGGUAGGAAUACAUCGGAACGUACCUUUUGGUUGAGAAUAGCGUUGGGAAACUGACGGUAAUACUCAAUAAAGUCGAGAGACCAAAGGUUUACUGCCGGAAGAGCGGCCGAUGCGAUAUUAGGUAGUUGGUGGGGUAAUGGCCUACCAAGCCUGAGAUGUCUAGGGGGUGUGAGAGCAUGGCCCCCACCACUGGGACUGAGAGACUGCCCAGACACCUACGGGUGGCUGCAGUCGAGGAUCUUCGUCAAUGGGCGAAAGCCUGAACGAGCGACGCCGCGUGCGGGAUGAAGGCCCUUGGGUUGUAAACCGCUGUCAGGGGGGGUGAAACCGCAAGGUUGACAGAGCCCCAGAGGAAGCACGGGCUAAGUUCGUGCCAGCAGCCGCGGUAAUACGAACUGUGCGAACGUUACUCGGAAUCACUGGGCUUACAGGGUGCGUAGAUGGCUUGUUAAGCAGGGUGUGAAAUCCCUCGGCUCAACCGAGGAACUGCGCUCUGAACUGGCGAGCUAGAGUAUGCUAGAGGUGAAUGGAACAUCCAGUGGAGCGGUGAAAUGUGUUGAUAUUGGAUGGAACACC
rnacentral:rRNA from 1 species